GAUGAACGCUGGCGGCGUGCCUAAUACAUGCAAGUCGAGCGAACGGACGAGAAGCUUUCUUCUCUGAUGUUAGCGGCUGACGGGUGAGUAACACGUGGAUAACCUACCUAUAAGACUGGGAUAACUUCGGGAAACCGGAGCUAAUACCGGAUAAUAUUUUGAACCGCAUGGUUCAAAAGUGAAAGACGGUCUUGCUGUCACUUUUAGAUGGAUCCGCGCUGCAUUAGCUAGUUGGUAAGGUAACGGCUUACCAAGGCAACGAUGCAUAGCCGACCUGAGAGGGUGAUCGGCCACACUGGAACUGAGACACGGUCCAGACUCCUACGGGAGGCAGCAGUAGGGAAUCUUCCGCAAUGGGCGAAAGCCUGACGGAGCAACGCCGCGUGAGUGAUGAAGGUCUUCGGAUCGUAAAACUCUGUUAUUAGGGAAGAACAUAUGUGUAAGUAACUGUGCACAUCUUGACGGUACCUAAUCAGAAAGCCACGGCUAACUACGUG
rnacentral:rRNA from 1 species